rnacentral:misc_RNA from 1 species
GAUGAAGAACGUAGCGAAAUGCGAUAAGUAGUGUGAAUUGCAGAAUUCAGUGAAUCAUCGAAUCUUUGAACGCACAUUGCGCCAUUUGGUAUUCCUUAGGGCAUGCCUGUUCGAGCGUCAUUUAAACCUUCAAGCUAAGCUUGGUGUUGGGUGACUGUCCGCUUCACGGCGGACUCGCCUCAAAAUUAUUGGCGGCCGGUACAUUGGCUUCGAGCGCAGCAGAAACGCGAACUCGGGCCCGUCGUAUUGGCUCCCAGAAGCUAUCUUCACAAUUUUGACCUCGGAUCAGGUAGGGAUACCCGCUGAACUUAAGCAUAUCAAUAAGCGGAGGA